rnacentral:rRNA from 1 species
ACCUGCGGAGGGAUCAUUACCGAGUUUACAACUCCCAAACCCAAUGUGAACUUUACCAAACUGUUGUCUCGGCGGGAUCUCUGGCCCGGGUGCGUGGCAGCCCCGGACCAAAGGCGCCCGCCGGAGGACCUUCCAAAACUCUUUUUGUAUACCCCCUCGCGGGUUUUUUAUAAUUUGAGCCUUCUCGGCGCCUCUCGUAGGCGUUUCGAAAAUGAAUCAAAACUUUCAACAACGGAUCUCUUGGUUCUGGCAUCGAUGAAGAACGCAAUCGUUUUGCGAUAAGUAAUGUGAAUUGCAGAAUUCAGCUGAAUCGUCUGAAUCUUUGAACGCUCAUUGCGCCCGCCCGUAUUCUGGGGGGCAUGCCUGUCCGAGCGUCAUUUCUACCCUCGAACCCCUCCGGGGGGUCGGCGUUGGGGAUCGGCCCUCCCUUAGCGGGUGGCCGUCUCCGAAAUACAGUGGCGGUCUCGCCGCAGCCUCUCCUGCGCAGUAGUUUGCACACUCUCAUCGGGAGGCNNGCNNGGGGCGUCCACAGCCGUUAAACCCCCAACUUUUGAAUUGUUGACCUACGAAUCAGGUAGGAAUACCCGCUGAACUUAAGCAUAUCAAAA